rnacentral:rRNA from 1 species
UACGUAGGGGGCAAGCGUUGUCCGGAAUCAUUGGGCGUAAAGCGCGCGUAGGCGGCCAGAUAAGUCCGGUGUGAAAGUCACAGGCUCAACCUGUGAAUGCCGCUGGAAACUGUCUGGCUAGAGUCCGGAAGGGGCGAGUGGAAUUCCUGGUGUAGCGGUGAAAUGCGCAGAUAUCAGGAGGAACACCAAUGGCGAAGGCAGCUCGCUGGAACGGUACUGACGCUGAGGCGCGAAGCGUGGGGAGCGAACAGG